rfam:Aedes albopictus isolate Foshan contig3877, whole genome shotgun sequence.
UAGCCUAGUGGUUAAGGCUAUGGAUCGCCAAUCCAGAGACGGCGGGUUCGACUCCCGU